rfam:Capsicum annuum cultivar Zunla-1 unplaced genomic scaffold scaffold258, whole genome shotgun sequence
AUACCUUUCUCGGCCUUUUGGCUAAGAUCAAGUGUAGUAUCUGUUCUUAUCAGUUUAAUAUCUGAUAUGUGGGCCACUGGUCCACACGAUAUUAACUCUAUUUUUUGAGGGUGAAGACUCAUCAAGGUAGCUUGCUGCCUGGGACUUCAAGUGUCGCCCAAGUGUUGCACUAUUGCUUUGGCCUGGCGCACCCCAC